UUAUUGUUUUGUUUUUUUUUGUGUGUCUCGUACCGAUCGUUUGAGUUAAUCUAAUUGCAACUGAUUUGCACAGGUUGUUCUUAUACUGUACUGCCACACUACUGUUUCAGCUCCGGGAAGGAUUGAGCGAUCACAAACAAGUUGUACUGUUACACCACUGUCCCAGGUUAAGGGAUUGUUGUUAUCCCGCUAACAUAUUUAACCCUGCCACAUUCUGUAUGUACGUGUCUGUCCCAAGUCAAGAGCCUGCAAGUCAGUGGUUGUCGUUUGUUGCCGUCUUAUUUUUUUUUUUUUCACUUUUUUUUUGUACAUUAAUUAGGCCGUUAGUUUUCUCCUUUGAAUGGUUUUACAUAAAUUUUGUAAUUUCGGGACCUUUUAUAGCUGACUAUGUGGUAUGGGCUUUGUUUAUUGUUGAGGGCUGUAUGGUGACCUAUGGCUGUUAAUUUUUGUGUGUCAUUUUGUCUCUAUUAAGAGUGUCUCAUUGGUAAUCAUACCAUAUCUUCGUUUUUAUAUCAACCCCUGCCAUAUUCUUUAUGAACCUGUUUAGUGGUUGUCAUUAGUACAUGUCUCAACUCAUAUUUAAUUUUUUAUAAAUUGUUUUGUUUUGUAUGGUUAGACCUAUAGUUUUUUUGUUUGAUUUUUUGUACACUUUUCAUGGCCUUCUAUAAACGGCUUUACAGUAUUGGGUUGUGUCAUUGUAGAAGGCCUUAAUGUUGCCUAUAAUUGCUUACAUCCACUUCAUAUUUGGACACUAGCCUAAUCAUGAGUGUUAAACACAACCAAUGAAACAAAUCCCUUGAAUGACAAAUAGUUGCUCCUUAACUGUUAUUGUCCGUGUAGUUCUUGUAUUUAUCCAGCUUAUCGUCCUACAGGGAUGUCCUACUAAGACUGACAUACCAUAAAAGCGUUUAUAACACAGCUCACAUUCUUAUAUAUCUACAUUCAUAAAUUUAUUAUUGUUAUUUAGACUAAACGACUCCAUGCUUGUUUGUUUUGUGCCUCUGCCGUCUAAA
rnacentral:lncRNA from 1 species